rnacentral:rRNA from 1 species
GACGAACGCUGGCGGCGUGCUUAACACAUGCAAGUCGAACGAUGAACCCGGAGCUUGCUCCGGCGGAUUAGUGGCGAACGGGUGAGUAACACGUGAGUAACCUGCCCUUGACUCUGGGAUAACUGCUAGAAAUGGUAGCUAAUACCGGAUACGACCCUCGGUGGCAUCACCAGGGGGUGGAAAGAAUUUCGGUCAAGGAUGGACUCGCGGCCUAUCAGCUAGUUGGUGAGGUAACGGCUCACCAAGGCGAAGACGGGUAGCCGGCCUGCGAGGGUGACCGGCCACACUGGGACUGAGACACGGCCCAGACUCCUACGGGAGGCAGCAGUGGGGAAUAUUGCACAAUGGGCGCAAGCCUGAUGCAGCAACGCCGCGUGAAGGAUGACGGCCUUCGGGUUGUAAACCUCUUUUAGUAGGGAAGAAGCGAAAGUGACGGUACCUGCGGAAAAAGCACCGGCUAACUACGUGCCAGCAGCCGCCGUAA